rnacentral:rRNA from 1 species
GACGAACGCUGGCGGCGUGCUUAACACAUGCAAGUCGAACGGGUCUGCCCUGUUUUUUGCGGGGUGGGUCAGUGGCGAACGGGUGAGUAACACGUGAGUAACCUGCCCCUCACUUCUGGAUAACCGCUUGAAAGGGUGGCUAAUACGGGGUGUUCUGGCUGUGCCGCAUGGUGUGGCUGGGAAAGAUUCACUUUUGUGGUGUUUUGGUGGGGGAUGGGCUCGCGGCCUAUCAGCUUGUUGGUGGGGUGAUGGCCUGCCAAGGCUUUGACGGGUGGCCGGCCGGGGGGGGUGGGCGUGCAGACUGGGACGGAGGUACGGCCCAGAUUCCGGCGGGAGGAGGCGGGGGGGGGUAUUGCACAGUGGGCGGAAGCCGGAGGCACGGACGGCGCGUGAGGGAGGUAGGCCUUCGGGUUGUGAACCUCUUCGCCGGUGAAGAAGGUCCUGCUCUUUGUGGUGGGGUUGACGGUAGCCGGGUUAUGAAGCGCCGGCUAACUACGUG